rnacentral:rRNA from 1 species
CACGUAGGGGGCAAGCGUUGUCCGGAUUUAUUGGGCGUAAAGGGCGCGUAGGCGGUCAGCACAAGUCAGUUGUGAAAUCUCCGGGCUUAACUCGGAAAGGUCAACUGAUACUGUGCGACUAGAGUGCAGAAGGGGCAACUGGAAUUCUCGGUGUAGCGGUGAAAUGCGUAGAUAUCAAGAGGAACACCUGCGGCGAAGGCGGGUUGCUGGGCCGACACUGACGCUGAUGCGCGAAAGCUAGGGGAGCGAACGGG